rnacentral:misc_RNA from 1 species
AAGCGAGCUACCACUACAUCUCUACCUUGCAUUGCACGGAAUUCAGUUUUCUCUGAUUAUGGUAUUAUGUACUUUCGCACAAAUCAAAUAUCAAUCGGCGAAAGUCUCUGCACUUGAUAUGCAGAGCGGAAUCAUGAUUGCGUUCUAUGCGGCAAUUCUAGCCUACGUCCUAACUUUGGUGACAGAAAUUAGACUCCUAAUUCAAAACUCUGUUUACCAUGCAAUCAUGGGCAACUUAAGCAUCUUAUUUGGAACUCUUGCAACCAUUUUGCUUCUAUUGAUUCUCGCCUUGUGUUUUGGGUGGACCAUUUUAGCCAUAUGGUUCUGUUGCUUUGCAAGAGCAGCAUAUAGCUCCUACCAGGAAUGGUACAACUUGCUGCUCGAUGCGGCUCUCCAUCUAUUUGAACUGCUCAAUACGCUAAUAGAUCGCGGCUCCACAGAGAAGCAAAAUGGGCCACCUGCUGCUGUAUGUUGUAACCAAUAAAAUUCAAGCCGAAAUGUCCUAAUACUAUUUGCACAAGUAAUUUGCGCUAUAUGAGAAGCAAUAUCAAUUGGAGGACUCUUGGAAGCGAGAAAUCUGAUGGGUAUGAUGUCAAUCUAACUUUCUUCUACGAAUACAAUUUGCCUCUGGCUUCUUACAUGUUCAAGCUGUCCAUCUUUGAUGACAGAACCUAACCUUUAACGGAAGAGUCAACUGAAAAAGCAAAACAAGUAUAUGAAGAAUUGAAAGCUAAAAAGUCGUAAUCACUAUAUAGUAUACAAUACCUUCAUCACAAUCCUACCAGCCUCAAAAUCUAAGAGGUCCACAAUGUUCACCCAAGCAAGAACAUGGCAGCAGUGUUAUAACGAACUCCAUCCACAGUAGCACAGU